ensembl:ncRNA Y46E12BR.2 ncRNA
AUUUUACGCGCAGUUAUUUGAAAAUUGUAGAUUCUAUCGAAUAGAAUUGCUUCAAAAAAUUUUUUUUUUAAUUAAAAACUUUUUUUUUCGGAAAACUGAUACAUUUUUCUUAUUUUUACCUUAAAAUUCUAUAAUUUUCAAUCAAUUCAC